UUAACUCAAAUUUGUAUGGAGUUGUGACGUUUACCUCCGCUUGCCGCUAGGGGCGCUGAUCUAGCUCCAUACAAAUUCGAGUUA
rnacentral:pre_miRNA from 1 species